rnacentral:rRNA from 1 species
UACGUAGGGGGCUAGCGUUGUCCGGAAUCAUUGGGCGUAAAGCGCGUGUAGGCGGUCCGGUAAGUCCGCUGUGAAAGUCGGGGGCUCAACCCUCGAAUGCCGGUGGAUACUGUCGGGCUAGAGUGCGGAAGAAGCGAGUGGAAUUCCUGGUGUAGCGGUGAAAUGCGCAGAUAUCAGGAGGAACACCGAUGGCGAAGGCAGCUUGCUGGGACGGUACUGACGCUGAGGCGCGAAAGCGUGGGGAGCAAACAGG